rnacentral:snRNA from 1 species
AGCUUUGCGCAGUGGCAAUAUGGUAGCCAAUGAGGUUAAUCCGAAGCGUGAUUAUUGCUAAUUGGAAACCGCUGAUUAGGAUUUAGACGUAAACUUGUUAGCGUAACCUGCCGCUGGCCCAGUGUUCUGACUGGUUAAUAUUUCCUUCUAAGCCGACUAAAAAGAAG